CAUGCGAAAGCAGUAACCGUCAAAACUCAUCGCGACGUUGAACUGGCCGGUUGCGCGGCUACUCGCGGCCGUAGUGUACCGCUCCGUUUUUUUAUUUUUUCGUUUUAGUACCCUUUCCGAAGAUGCUCUGAACAAUCGUGUCCAGUGUUUAACGACAGUCCCUGACCCGACCUAGUGUAUCUAAAUCAUUUGCAUUGUUCCUCGUGUGCCUUUCCUAGUUUGUCGUUGUAUCCACACCCGAGUACCGAAGCCAUUCCCUAGUGAACCCGUUCGAACGUUGUGUGGUUGCUGUUGUUGUGAAUAAUCGAAACGAAACCAAAUAUAUCCAACUACUUGUAAUCAACAGUCCGGUUUGGAAAAAAAACAGAAAACAUACAUUAUCAUCAGCAAACCCUCCUCACCCUCCAACCACCACCAACACCAAUCACCUUCUUCUUCACCCGACCCGGACCGGACACCCGACACACCAAAAACACGCGCGCGCGCUCCCCGGUCCGUCCGGUUAUGUCGUGUGGCCGCGUAGGACCGAACUGCUAUGGCCGAAGAUUUGGCUGAUCAAAUUGACGACUAUAUCUGUGUAUUUGAAGGAGCCGGUGAUCUAACGAUGGAUACGUUCGUAAUGUUACUGUUCGCGCUGAUCGUGGUAGUGAUUUCGCUCGUGUUUGCGACCAAACUGAUCUACGACAAGUACGUGGUGCGCAAGGGCGCUACGGCCAGCGGGACCGCCGAUGGUGGCACCGCUACCAUCCCGGCCGGUACGGCAACCGUCGGUGGUGUGUCGCCGGUGGUGGGUGCGACGGGUGUGACCGCGGGUACGCGCGUCUCCGAGCCGAAGGAGGUGCUCACCAAGAAGGAUGCCAUUCUGUCCCAAGUUCGCAAUGGCGGCAGUGCUGGUGGCCUGGGCGGUGGAGCAAGAACUGGUGGUGGAUUUGGCGGAGGCGGCGGUGGUAUGGGUGUCGCCACCGGUCCCAUGAUCGCUCGCAAACGAAUCUCUCGCAUGAGUCCCGGUCCCGAGCUAUCGCAGAAGAAGCGCCCGGUGAUACCGCCCUCGAACAUCAAUGGAACUGAUCCGCAAAUCACCCAGUGGGCCAUCCACCUGUUCCGCUGGUUGUAUUCCGACCUGGUGGUAGUGAACAAGCUGCUACAGGACUGGGUGUCCUCGGUCAACACGGCCCUGCUCACGCACGUAGAGCAGCACGAAAUGAUUGUCGAGAUAGUGCGCGUUCUGCCGGAAAGUUUGCCCCCGAACCUGUCUAGCAUUCUGUGCGAACCGACCGACCAAUCGAACGAAGUCGAGCUGCUUUUCGACGUCGAUACGACGCCCGUGCUGCAGAUCAAAGCGUUCAAGUCGAGCAACCAAAAGACGGAAGUGUCCCACUACAAGGCAACGGUGUCGCGGUUGAAGUCACGGGUCAGCGUUAUCGUCAACUACUUCGCACUCAAGGGAGAAAUGAAACUCGAAGGAUAUCCUGAUAUCAAGAUUCAUCUCAAUAGCAUUGGACCACUGAAAACUGCAAACGCACAGGACGAGAAGAAGCAGAUCGAUCUCAUUACGGAGCUGCUGAUCGGUUCCAUCCGCGAUGUGGUGUAUCCGGUUGAUUUCUCCAUCUACUCCACCUGUCCGAGAAUCAUGGGCGAAGAGUCCGAGGAGGUCACAUCUGACUAUGGCUAUGGGGGCUACAGUGAUGGAUAUCGCGCUUAUCAGGAUGAUGCGUACGGUACCGGUCUAUCGGCAUCCCCCCGGAAACUACUAGUCAAAGUACUGAAAGCAGAAGGACUUCUAAAGUGCUCACAACCGUUCUGUGUGAUCGAAAUGGACGAACCCGCCCAGAAGCAUCAAUCCGCUUCCAAGCAGGGCCAAAAUCCGUUCUUUGAUGAAACCUUCCUCUUUGAUCUGUCGAACCAUUCGACCGAACUUCUGUUCGAGGUGUACGAUACCGUAGCAGUAGGUAAUGAUAAUACGCCCCCGACGAACGAACGAACCGCUGGGCAUGUGCCGGGUAGCGAUCCCCAACCGGUUCCUUCGCCGCCAGUUAACACGGCCCCGUCCAGCAUGCCCUCGACGCCGGUCGCCCCGAGUACUACUAACACGCGUGUGCCGAACGAGCUGGGCAAUGGCAGCGAUGGUGUGCUAGCCACCGUUGCCGAAUGUCCAGAGACGAGUGCCACGGCGGAGGACGAAUGCGUCGAUCCACUAGCCGCGAAUGCUACCGUUAACGAUGCCUGUGGCGAACCUGCAUGUUCCGAUACUAACCAAUCUAAAUCCCGUAAUGCAUCCGGAGGUCAAAAGUUCCUUGGUCUGGGUUUGGUAGGAAUCGACGAGCUGGCCAGCGGUCCCGCCACCACACAGAUUCUCGAGCUGCAGCCCCGACCAUACGAAACGGAAACCAUUACCGGUUCCUUAACGGUUGAGUUUGUGUUCAUCGAUUCGCCACCGGUUCCGGCCGCCCGGCGACAGUACACGCAGCAAUCCUUCCACGCGAACGGAAUGUCCAACUUUGCCCGAGAUGCCAUCACAAGCACGCCCGGUCCGGGAAGCCCGAACGGUACGGUUGGCACAACCAGCACGACUGGUUCGCCAAUGUCCCCAUCCUCACCGUCCAAGCAGCUGUCCAACAAGGCACAGGCGAUGGCGGAACGUAACCAGCGGUUCCAGGCCGCGGAAGCUAACCGAAUGAACAACUCUUUCCUCAAACCGACGGCAACGGGACAGCUAAGCUCCUUUAACGGUGGCAAAUCCGAAUCUACACCCGCCUCGCCCGCACUCUCGUCCGCCUCUGCCACCUCCCAGUCCAUGACGGCCAGCCUAAGCAACAGUGCCCCGGUAAGCGUCAACUCGGUGCCACCGGUCAAGAAACCGCGCAACAUCUUUGGCACCCUGCGCAGCAAGCUAACACCGUCCAAGAAGUCCAAAUCGCUGGACGUAUCGCAGUACAGCCCGACCGCAACCGGAGGUAACGUGCGCAGCGCAUCGUCAACGCUCAUUCGAGGAUCAUCGCUCGAUCAAAGAUCGAACAUCUUCCGUAACCUAUCGCGCAAGUCAUCCAUCUCGGAAUCGUCCGCCAUAUCGGGCCUGUCGACGGGCAGUGGGCGAACGUACGUGCACGAGGAGUCGACGCUGCUGCUCGAAACGACGGAAAACAAUGUGGUGCGCCACUAUCUCGUACCGCUCGAGGUGGCCACGAAGCAGAAGAACUGGAAGCGUAAAGGGACCAAACUGCACAUCUACAACGAUCACACGUUCGUUGCGAAACACAUCCCGGGUGGCAUCCUGUGCUUUGUCUGCAAUCGCAGCAUACCGAGACGCCCCGGGAAGCAGGGCUACGAAUGCCGGGACUGUGCCAUCCAGUGCCACAAGCCGUGCCACGUGCGGGCUCCCCAAGCCUGCCCGAAUCCGAAAAUACUAUCCAUGCAGCUGUCUACACUACCCGUACUUAGAGAUUAGGGAGCACGCGAGGGAAGGCGGUACCCGUCCCUGAUGUCCCGCGUGCUAGCGCCCGUACCAUUUUCUGAUUUCUGGUCCGCAUCUUCUUCCCCCGCACCAAAGAGUUCCGUGCUUUUUGGCCAUUUUUCUUUUGGAUCCCUCGAACCUUUGCCAAAAAAACGGGGGGAAAACGGGUUUUGAAUUUUGCCUCAUGCACAAACGCAUUAGUUUUAAAGUAAAAAAAAGAGCUACAUUUCCUCCCGACUCCGUACCGCAACUCCAACUCCAAUCUGCGAACCGUUUCUUUACGAUGGCCCUGGACGCAGUAGGAUACAGCGCCGUACCGCGCGUCGUAACAGACACACAUAAAACUCUGCCAAAGGAGCAUUUAUCACCGAGCAACAACCUUUUUUAACAGCAACAAAUUCGACUCAUACUAAAACCAGGACUUGAAAAGAACUAUUGGGACAACAAAAGAAUAAGAAUCUUCCUGUACGAACUGCUGCUACUUACUGCGCUUGCAUUGCUAUUUCUAUCGCUUACAUUGCUAAACUGUUACUUAAGGAAGAUAAGGAAACAAAAUUAGUUAACAAAAAAAAAACGGUAAAAUUGAAGUAACUUUAAAAUUUAACAGAAAACAAAAAUCUCGAACGCUAACACAAGCAAAAACUGCAACAAAACGAACGCAACGCAAUAUAACGAUCAAUUUCGAAAUGAAGAAGGAAUCACAUAGGUAAAUGGUAUUUUUAAUUUCUUUUUGCAUUCAUUUUGCACAAGUCACAAAACCUACUCGCUCGCGCUGAUUCUAUACUUAAAAAAGCUCUCUUUCUCUCUUCACUUCCUGCCAUCCUUUAGCAAGCAACAUUUGCCAUCUAUUGGCGCGUUCUAUUUUCUCAAAUUAGAUGUUAAUUGUAUUUAAAAAAAGGAAGUAAAAACUUAACAAAAGAUUGUACCAUAGACGGGGACGAAGAAAGGAAAAAGGGGGGUCAGUAGUAGUUGGAGUAGUAGUAGUAGUAGUAGAACAUCGCAUGAUCGCAUAAAACGAAUCAGUGCCUGACGAAGAGGGUAGGAAGGAUCUGAUGAGAGCGUACAUUACGGGGUGUUAAGGAGCGAGAAGAAACGAGGGAAAGGUGUGUCACACAUCCCGCAGCCAAAUUUUUCUUUACUUACUUCACUUUAUCAAACCCAACACGUGAUUGUUAAUAAUACCUCUCUGUCUCUCUCUCUCUCGAAUUCAUAAAACGGUGACCAAAACAAUCAACACACAGAAACACACCUUAACGAACCUCCCCAGGCACCUUUUUUUUUGCUCCACUUAUAAGAGAAAGGGGGUUUUUAUUUAUUUAAAAAUCAGUGCAUACAAUGCACACCAGUCAGGAUUUGUUGUAACGAAGUUUAAGGAUUAAUUUGUUGGCACGGCCACAUAGACACACACCGUUCUACUGUUCUAUGUGACGUUUGUUGGUGUAUUUGUGCGUAGCGUUUUGAUUUUGCUUUUAACUACUCCGGUCGUUCUUUUACCACGUAUGAUUAGUUAUUUAAAUUAAACAAAAACACAGCAAGAAACACACUACACCGUUCAGUUAAGGGUGAAACAAAUGGAUGAAUGAAUAAACGUUAAUUAUAUUGUUAA